rnacentral:lncRNA from 1 species
AGACCCCUGGGCUAACAGCCCAAGGGAUGCACCUCAAUGGCCCCCACUGGUGUCCGUAUCAGCACGCCUGGACCAGCUCAGAACAACGGCCCCCACCAAUGUCUCAGUCUCUGGAGAGGAUCCUCCUCUCACCAAGAUGCCCCCAGAGCCCACCAGAAUAAAAGGAAGAUCUUGAUUUAAUAAAGAAGAAGCAGAAGCACAUCUUCAACGCACGCCUGUAGGGAAGAACUUGGUCCAGGAUGAGGCUGAGAUGAGUGAAUCAUUUGCCUAAGGAAGAAGAGUUACAGGGACACCAAAAAAGCUCAGUAAGUAAGUGAUUCUGAGUUUGUCUUCCAGAGAUUGUCUUAACUAGUCAAUCCAGGUUGUUUUCAUUGCCUAUGGGUACAACAGGGAAGGCCACCGCA